UACAGAGGGUGCAAGCGUUGUUCGGAAUUACUGGGCGUAAAGCGCGUGUAGGCGGCGUGGUAAGUCGGGUGUGAAAUCCUUCGGCUCAACCGAAGAAGUGCACUCGAUACUGCCUCGCUUGAGUAUCGGAGGGGAUGGCGGAAUUCCCGGUGUAGAGGUGAAAUUCGUAGAUAUCGGGAGGAACACCUGUGGCGAAGGCGGCCAUCUGGACGAAUACUGACGCUGAGACGCGAAAGCGUGGGUAGCAAACAGG
rnacentral:rRNA from 1 species